AUUCACAGUGUGCCCAGUUUGUGUUUAUUCAUGGGGACCGCAGCACUGGGCUGUGGGAGACGACUCACUUAGCGCUGAGCUCUCAGUAAUUGGCUAUCAGCUCAGCGGUCCUCUUUGUGUCAGAGCAAAGCAUGGGAGUCGCACCACGCGUGACGCCUGCAUGGCAGCACACACCGAGCCGCGGAGACGUCACACAAGCAGAUGUGCCACAGCCCUUUGGUAAGCAAAUGAAUAAAGAGAAGGGUUCCUCCAGAAGAUGCUGCGAGCGGCCGGGAGAGCCAAAUGAUUAAUGAGAGCCGGAGCCGGGCGCACCCUGCCCACCUCCACCCGCAUCGGGAAUGAGGACGCACUGCAGCCUGGUGGGAUGCGCACAGCCACAGUUCUGGGCAGAAGGGACUGGGAAGGACUGCUCCACAUCCCGGCUAAAUCCAUCUACGGGAAGUCCCAGGGCGCAUCCCUGCAUCAGAGCCGGUGCUGCAGGAGAGGAGAGCGUCCCGUGCCGUCCUGGUGCCGUGCAGAGGGUGCGUUGCAGGUCUGGAGAGGGUCCAUCCCGGCUCCUUUGUAGAAAGGUGUGCCGUGACACAGGAACAAAGGAAGAACAAGAGCGCGAAGUUUGGAGCAAGUUAAUAAAAAGCGAGUGGGAGCAGGAUUUGUUUGAACUCACAGGGCUCGCACUGACAGAGACAAAUCUAUCCGAGGAAUCAGGCGUGCUACAUCUGAAAAUAAAAUGGGAUGGAGCUGCAGAGCACGGGGUGAUGAGCAGCGUUACGGCCCAGAGAGCCGCUCUGCCUGGGAGUGCUGAGCAAAGAGCCCCUCCCUCCCCCUGGGAACGCACUGUACCAUUUUAUUCCCCUUUUUCUUUACAUUUCCACUUCCGAUCGCUGAUUUGGAUUUAAAAUUAAUUUGGUGAUUUGAGUUUAAUAAGAAUGUUAGACAUGAUUUCCUUCUCACUCUUACUUUUAAUUAACUUUUUAAUUGAGAUUUAAAUGAAUUCUAAU
rnacentral:lncRNA from 7 species